GGCAGGCCUAACACAUGCAAGUCGAACGGCAGCGGGUAGGAAGCUUGCUUCCUAUGCCGGCGAGUGGCGGACGGGUGAGGAACACAUCGGAAUCUACUCCGUCGUGGGGGAUAACGUAGGGAAACUUACGCUAAUACCGCAUACGACCUAAGGGUGAAAGUGGGGGACCGCAAGGCCUCACGCGAUGGAAUGAGCCGAUGUCCGAUUAGCUAGUUGGCGGGGUAAAGGCCCACCAAGGCGACGAUCGGUAGCUGGUCUGAGAGGAUGAUCAGCCACACUGGGACUGAGACACGGCCCAGACUCCUACGGGAGGCAGCAGUGGGGAAUAUUGGACAAUGGGCGAAAGCCUGAUCCAGCCAUGCCGCGUGGGUGAAGAAGGCCUUCGGGUUGUAAAGCCCUUUUGUUGGGGAAGAAAUCCUGCUGGCUAAUACCCGGCGGGGAUGACGGUACCCAAAGAAUAAGCACCGGCUAACUUCGUGCCAGCAGCCGCGGUAAUACGAAGGGUGCAAGCGUUACUCGGAAUUACUGGGCGUAAAGCGUGCGUAGGUGGUGGCUUAAGUCCGUUGUGAAAGCCCUGGGCUCAACCUGGGAAUUGCAGUGGAUACUGGGUCACUAGAGUGUGGUAGAGGGUGGCGGAAUUCCCGGUGUAGCAGUGAAAUGCGUAGAGAUCGGGAGGAACACCCGUGGCGAAGGCGGCCACCUGGGGCCAACACUGACACUGAGGCACGAAAGCGUGGGGAGCAAACAGGAUUAGAUACCCUGGUAGUCCACGCCCUAAACGAUGCGAACUGGGAUGUUGGGUUCAAUUUGGGACUCAGUAUCGAAGCUAACGCGUUAAGUUCGCCGCCUGGGGGAGUACGGUCGCAAGAACUGAAACUCAAAGGAAUUGACGGGGGGCCCGCACAGGCGGUUGGAGUAUUGGUGGUUAAUUCGAUGCAACGCGAAGAACCUUUACUGGUUCUUGACCAUCCGCGGAA
rnacentral:rRNA from 1 species